UACGUAGGGACCAAGCGUUGUUCGGAUUUACUGGGCGUAAAGGGCGCGUAGGCGGCGUGGUAAGUCAGCUGUGAAAUCUCCGAGCUUAACUCGGAACGGUCAGCUGAUACUGCUGUGCUAGAGUACAGAAGGGGCAAUCGGAAUUCUUGGUGUAGCGGUGAAAUGCGUAGAUAUCAAGAGGAACACCUGAGGCGAAGGCGGGUUGCUGGGCCGACACUGACGCUGAGGCGCGAAAGCUAGGGGAGCGAACGGG
rnacentral:rRNA from 1 species